rnacentral:rRNA from 1 species
AUGAACGCUGGCGGCGUGCCUAAUACAUGCAAGUCGAGCGAACAGACGAGGAGCUUGCUCCUCUGACGUUAGCGGCGGACGGGUGAGUAACACGUGGAUAACCUACCUAUAAGACUGGGAUAACUUCGGGAAACCGGAGCUAAUACUGGAUAAUAUAUUGAACCGCAUGGUUCAAUAGUGAAAGACGGUUUUGCUGUCACUUAUAGAUGGAUCCGCGCCGCAUUAGCUAGUUGGUAAGGUAACGGCUUACCAAGGCAACGAUGCGUAGCCGACCUGAGAGGGUGAUCGGCCACACUGGAACUGAGACACGGUCCAGACUCCUACGGGAGGCAGCAGUAGGGAAUCUUCCGCAAUGGGCGAAAGCUUGACGGAGCAACGCCGCGUGAGUGAUGAAGGUCUUCGGAUCGUAAAACUCUGUUAUUAGGGAAGAACAAAUGUGUAAGUAACUAUGCACGUCUUGACGGUACCUAAUCAGAAAGCCACGGCUAACUACGUG